CUACGGGGCGCUCCAGUGGGGAAUAUUGCACAAUGGGCGCAAGCCUGAUGCAGCCAUGCCGCGUGUAUGAAGAAGGCCUUCGGGUUGUAAAGUACUUUCAGCGGGGAGGAAGGGAGUAAAGUUAAUACCUUUGCUCAUUGACGUUACCCGCAGAAGAAGCACCGGCUAACUCCGUGCCAGCAGCCGCGGUAAUACGGAGGGUGCAAGCGUUAAUCGGAAUUACUGGGCGUAAAGCGCACGCAGGCGGUUUGUUAAGUCAGAUGUGAAAUCCCCGGGCUCAACCUGGGAACUGCAUCUGAUACGGGCAAGCUGGAGUCUCGUAGAGGGGGGUAGAAUUCCAGGUGUAGCGGUGAAAUGCGUAGAGAUCUGGAGGAAUACCGGUGGCGAAGGCGGCCCCCUGGACGAAGACUGACGCUCAGGUGCGAAAGCGUGGGGAGCAAACAGGAUUAGAUACCCCCGUAGUC
rnacentral:rRNA from 1 species